UGAGGAAUAUUGGGCAAUGCCCGCAAGGGUGACCCAGCAACGCCGCGUGGAGGAUGAAUGUCGUAAGAUUGUAAACUCCUGUUAGAGGGGAAGAAUAGUACCGGUUGGACCGGUAUAUGACUGUACCCUCAGAGAAAGCCCCGGCUAACUACGUGCCAGCAGCCGCGGUAAUACGUAGGGGGCAAGCGUUGUCCGGAUUUACUGGGUGUAAAGGGCGCGCAGGCGGGAUAAAAAGUCAGUGGUGAAAUCCUACAGCUUAACUGGAGAACUGACUAUGAUACUUUCAUUCUUGAGUUCGGGAGAGAGAGACGGAAUUCCAGGUGGAGUGGUGAAAUACGUAGAUAUCUGGAAGAACACCAGUUGCGAAGGCGGUCUCAUGGUCCGACACGGACGCGGAGGCGCGAAAGCGU
rnacentral:rRNA from 1 species